CCUACGGGAGGCUGCAGUGAGGAAUAUUGGUCAAUGGGCGCGAGCCUGAACCAGCCAAGUAGCGUGAAGGAUGACUGCCCUACGGGUUGUAAACUUCUUUUAUAAAGGAAUAAAGUGAGGCACGUGUGCCUUUUUGUAUGUACUUUAUGAAUAAGGAUCGGCUAACUCCGUGCCAUCAGCCGCGGUAAUACGGAGGAUCCGAGCGUUAUCCGGAUUUAUUGGGUUUAAAGGGAGCGUAGAUGGGUUGUUAAGUCAGUUGUGAAAGUUUGCGGCUCAACCGUAAAAUUGCAAUUGAUACUGGCAGUCUUGAGUACAGAUGAGGUAGGCGGAAUUCGUGGUGUAGCGGUGAAAUGCUUAGAUAUCACGAAGAACUCCGAUUGCGAAGGCAGCUUACUAAACUGCCACUGACAUUGAUGCUCGAAAGUGUGGGUAUCAAACAGGAUUAGAUACCCUAGUAGUC
rnacentral:rRNA from 1 species